ensembl:lncRNA
CUGCUGUUCUAGAAAAUUUAUCAACACCUUCUGACCAAUCAGAAUCGAGAAUUGCGCAGUGUUUCAGUGUAAAAUGUCUUAUAUUUAAUAAGUGCACAAAACAGGGUGUGCUGUUAUAGGAAAACAAUCAACUUGGUAUAAGUAACUCUGCUGUCAUUCAGUAUUCUUAGAGUGUUUUAUUCCUUAUUUAUCUGGCUCGGUCAAAAGCCUCAGGAUAUAAAGACGCGUUGAGUUUAUUUCUCAGAACACAAGGCACCGUUCCAUCAUCAACUUCCAUUUAUUAGUAUCAAACCACUGCUACAAAAUUACAUCAAACAGGAUGAAAAUGAAAUUGCAUACGUGCUAUUCACAAUGUAAACUUUAAAGUAAUUAAGGUAUAUGAGUUCUCAUUUUUUUUUUAUUGAUUUUUUGUAUUUUAUUUUUGUUCUUGACAAAUAUCAAUAUAUAUCAAUGCCACUUAAAGCCAUAUAUGUCAUUCCAGUGAUCUAGAGCCUAUAAAUAUACAACUAUUAUCCGUGGUGGCUAAAGAACCUCCAUAAACAUUAAGAUGACCAGUUCAAAUUUCUCAUCACAGAAGUUUUCAGCAUAGAAUGAUUCGGAAAACAACGUGAAAGCAAAAAUAAUAAUACUAAUAAUAAUAAUAAUAAUAAUAAUAAUAAUAAAAAUUAGGCCCCCGAAUAUGAGUUCAUGAUGUCCAUUCUAUACUUUCACCACCCUUCAUAAAGGAUUUUUACUUUUUUCUUUUUUAUUAUUAUCUUUUUUUUUUUAUAAAAUUAAACUAUAAAUAAAGUUAGCUCGUCGACGCUCAGGAACAGGGACAUGGACAUGAAGAACAGGAGUUUUCUAGCCUGAACAUCAAGGACUUUGAUUAUCAUCAUUGUGCUAUCGGUGUGAAAUAUGAAAUACAGGCAGGUGAUUUUGGCAAAAAAAUAAUAAUAAAUAAAUAAAUAAAAUCCAAAUGUUUUGAAUGUAGCGUGAUUAAAAAAAAAAAAAAACCACGGUGUUAUUUUGAUUGAAAUAGUAUCAGGGGUGGGAUGAGUCCAUUUUUGUCAAGAGGUCCGUGUGAGUACCUUAAACUUUUCCCCAAAUAUGAUGGUUGUAGAUUUUGGGGAGUGAAAGGAAUCAUAUUCGCUAGGUUCCGGUGGGAGGUUUGAGGAAUGGCGAUGCAUGUCGUGGUUAGAUCGACGCGAGCUCGCAGAAUGGAAUAUAAAAUGUGCACGCAUGAACUUAACAAUGAUAAUAAAAGAAAAAUAACGAUUAAUGGAGGGAUGAAAGAAAUGAUAAAAACGGCAAACACUGCUAAGUUCCGCGAGUAUAAAAUGCACACGUUUUGGGUCGAGGUCAUUAAUUUGGUAGUUCCUGGAAAAAUGAUGGUGCCUCGUGGUUGGUUGAAUAGUUAAGCGUUCGUAGCUUUCCGGAAGGGGUUCUUCUUUGACGUUGAGAUCUUUACCUUCCAGAGUUGUUCGAUUUGAAAGCCAUUCUAACAAGUCUAUAAAUAGUCUAGAGUGUUAAAAUGCGUGCAUUGGGGUUCCUGAGAGGAUCUUCUGAAGAAUUUAGGGAUUUUAGCUUCUUAAUAAGGAUCUAAUCGGAAGCCUCUCUGAUAGGAAAACACCUUUUAAGGGUUCCUCGAACGUAUAGUCGUAGUGGUGUAGAUGAAUGGAAAUUUCCGAUGGUCUUAAUAUGUGCAUCAAUCUCGUAGGCUCUACAUCGUACCCAACAAUCUACACACUCUCAGGAAUAGAAAGAUUACGCACUGGUUCUUUGGUGAGUUAAGCGGUCUAAUCUUUUCGUAAGGGUUGUAAGUGGAAAGCGCUUUGAAGAGAUCGUCCAAAACAACAAGCCUGACAGACUAGACUCAGUGAACAUCAAAAAUCAGUGCAUUUCUUCUGGAUAACGGAGGGAUAAAAAGAAAGGAUUCACAACUAGAAAAACUAUCUGGUUUAAAUUCAAAUGCUCUUCAUAUGUAUACAAGCUUUAGUGGAUCUUCAUCACUCUGUGGAGGGUUAAGGGCUCUUAGCUUUCAAAAGAGGUUUGACUUGGAAGCCAGUGGAACAAGCCAAAGAGUCCGGGGUGUAGAGUUGACGAAUAUCGAAAUCAUUUCUAUUGGAUGAUGGAAGGAUAAGAAAGAAAGGAUUAACGAGGGGAAGAGGAAACUAUAUGGUGUAAAUAUCUACUUUAGUGGCUCUACAUCAUUCCCACCAAUCUAUACUCUCUUGCAGACAAAGGGUUCCUAAUGGGUUCUUCUGGAAAGUGAAGCAAGCUUGGCUUUCUAAUAGGAUUCUACUUGAAAGCCUAUUUGAAGGGUUCCUCCACAGGAACCAGCCAAAGAGUCUUAAUGGGGAACCUUGUGGGUUCUUAUGGAGUGUUCCUAAGAGGGUUCAAGAGUAGAAUUCAAGCUUUCAUCCAACCAAAGAACCCCUUAAGGGAAUAUUUUUUCCCCCCAAAAAGGCUGUUUGGAAAGCACCUUUUAACGAACAAGCCAAAAGAGUCCAUUGAUAUUAAAAUCAGUGGAUUUCUAUUGGAUGAUGGAGAAAUAAAAUUGGUGCAAACGUAAUUUUGGAUGGUCUUCAUAUGUACACCAACUUUGCCGGCUCUAAAUCGUACCCACCAAUCUGUACACUCUUAGGGACAAAAGGGUUCCUCACCGGUCGUUCUGAAGAGUUAACAGCUUCCUAAAAUUAGUUUAAGAUUCCCUUCAAUUAAAGAAACCUCAAACGGAAAGCAUGUGGGAUAAGAUGUUGGGGGGUGGGGUGGGGAGGGGACUAAUGUGUAAAAAGCUCAGGAGUAAUUUGAGAAUUUAAUCAUUUCAGCUUGAAGGCUGAUGAGAUGCAAGUGUUCGGAAGAAGCAAGAUGAAUAACUGAGCUGAAACGGAGACGUUUUGGUUAGUUCUGGAUUGAAACUCGUUCCGAAAGAGAAAUGUGUACAAACUUGCAAGGAGGAAUGUAAAAAAAAAAAAAAAAAACGAAAAAAGAGAAAAGACUUUGGCUAAUUUUGACUUGCAUCCUUAAAAAAAUUAAAUAAAUAAAAACGAACAGAUAAGACACAGUUCUCUAAUUGAAGUAAAUCUGGAGAUAACACUUAGCGCUUCAUCAUCAGAAAGCGUUUCAUGUCCGAGUGUUUAACGCAUCCGGGCACGUUCCCAAUCCCGUCCUGCUAAGACCGUCGCGAAAUAGAGCACUCGAUGAGACUUAAGAGUGCUCCUCGACACGUCCACUUUAGUAGAACCCCGAACUAUCUUUAUAAACCUGCAGUUCAUCCUGUACUCUGCACCGACAUGGUCGCCGCGAUGUCUCGGCCUCGUCGGUUUCACACUGAUAUGAGCGCUGUAUGAAUACCUAUUGCUUUAUCAAGUACGCUGCACCGUCGCCAGCCUGGAUAACAUUUUCUAGCUCACUGAGAAUAGAAAUAGACUGGUGAGUCGACAAAGUGUCAGGGUUCGAAUAAAGAUGUUCAGGAGCCGUACUUUAUAUAUAACGGCAACACGAACGUGACAUUAUGGUAAAACCUGUAAACCGUCCGCAGUUUGAUGGAUUCAGUGGAAAUGAUUUGAACUAUAUGUCAUGACGGGCCACUGAAAAAGGACAGGGGUUUAACCUACACUAGUAGAGCUGCAAUUUCUUCUUCUUCUUCUUCUUCUCCUGUGAUGCGCUGGAUUCAGUCGGAGUGCUGCUGGGAGAAUGAAUGCUCAUGGUCGGUGAAGGUAGCAGCCCUGCAGCACUCCAUAAAAUCCCACCAUCAAAAUCUAACAAAGGCACGGGAAGGACUUUAUUAACCGCUGGGUCAAACGAAUCAUCCCCUUCCUGCUCAUAGAGACAGCACUCUAAAAAAAUAAAGCCGUUUUUGAAAGAUGGCAGGGGUUGAGAGGUGACCGGGGUGUUAAAAGCUGCACAGUGAAAGCUCAGCUCGACUAAGACAGGGGCGUUAACCGGCGGUCCGGAUAAGAAACCCGGCAAAGCAUUUCAGAAGAGCGAACUUAAUACUGGAGUAGAAGUACGAUAGUACUUCAUAUAAAAUACUGGAGUAGAGCGGAAAAAAAUAAAAUAAAUAAAUAAAUAACGUGAUAAAAACUAGUGACUGGUUUUCUAAACACGUCCCAAACUCAGGAUCUCUAUCGGACCCUGUUUUGCAGUUUUUAGCCAAUCACAUGCAUUUCUGUCAGUUAUUGUGCUUCAGGUAGCGACUAGGUAUCAGACCAGAGACUAGCUACGGGGAUAGAUAUUAUAUCAGUAAGGGAAGACUUUUUUUUUUACAGAAUUUUCGUUGUAUUUACCCUCUCUGGUCUGAUUAGUGAGACAAAAAAAAAAACCAAAACAAGCAAAACUGAAUUUUUAAAGGUGAAGACACAAUGAAGUAUACGUUUAUUUUCAUGUAUGUCAUCUGUUCAGAGUCCCGGGCACUAGUUAAAAGCGUUAACGUGAAACUAGGAAACAAAACAAGCACUUCCCGUUGUUUUAUUUAUAGCCACGCGAUAAAAGCUUUUGCUGAAGAAGUAAAAACAACAACAACAACAACAACAACAACAACAACAAAAAAAAAACCCUGUUGUCAUCAUUUCUGUUCAUGGUGUCAGUUCUUCGUACGUCCCUUCAUACGCGACUAAUCUUACCUAACUUGCUAACGUGAGUUUCUGUUUUAUUUAUUUAUUUAUUUUCUGGAAGAUGCGAUAAGUAUAGCGUGGAAGCCGCAAACGCCACAAUGAGACGAUGGACAUAACGCGUCAUUAUGACAUACUGCAGGUACGAAACACAGCUAAGGCUUUCAUUUCCUAACGGGUAAACUCCCGUUCAAGUGCCGAACCGCUUCCCGCGUGGGAGCGGUUCGAAAACGACUACACGUCAUGUCCUUUUACGAAGCCUCAGAUUCGGCGUGUAGAGGGCGUAGAGUCGUAUUCCUCUCCAGUCGGGUCUCGGAUCGAAGACGGGAAAGUGGUAAACCGCGUGAUGGAUUGAACGGGAAAUAAUCCUUGGUUAUCCGUGUGGAAGUGUAGUUAUCAAGUCAUUCGAUGUUGUAAAUUCGCAGCACUUGUUAUUUACAUCCUGGUUUUAGUUUUAUUUAUUUUUUUUUAAAAAAGCUGUAAGUUUUUUCAUUUCUAUAAUUCUGCAUGCAUGAGUAAUUCCUGACCGGUGUUUUCUUUUAACUCGAGAUCCACUUAGGCAACGUUAAUGAAGUCUGCAUCGAUCUCCUACUCUCUGAAUAUUUAUGGAAAAAGAGUUUGUGCCAAAAUUCAUGAUAUAUUUACGAUGGAUAAAUCUGGA